CGAACGGGUGAGUAACGCGUGAGGAACCUGCCUCAAAGAGGGGGACAACAGUUGGAAACGACUGCUAAUACCGCAUAAGCCCACGACCCGGCAUCGGGUAGAGGGAAAAGGAGCAAUCCGCUUUGAGAUGGCCUCGCGUCCGAUUAGCUAGCUGGUGAGGUAAUGGCCCACCAAGGCGACGAUCGGUAGCCGGACUGAGAGGUUGAACGGCCACAUUGGGACUGAGACACGGCCCAG
rnacentral:rRNA from 1 species